rnacentral:lncRNA from 1 species
GUUAAUUGUUGUAGGAAAAUGGUUUGAUCAAAUUGAGGAGUUUGUACAGAUCUGGUUUUGCUUUGUCGGUAUUUUGUUCCUUUAGUUUAGUUCAGUUUUCGAUUGGGUUUCUUUUACCGAUUUGGCUUCCGAUGGAUUUCAAUUUUGAUUUACUGUGAAUUGAUGUAUGAUUCUUGCGGGCAAUUCGUGAUUUCAAUGUUUUGAUUUUUGGAACAG